rnacentral:rRNA from 1 species
GACGAACGCUGGCGGCGUGCUUAACACAUGCAAGUCGAACGCUGAAGCUCAGCUUGCUGGGUGGAUGAGUGGCGAACGGGUGAGUAACACGUGAGUAACCUGCCCUCUUCUUUGGGAUAACGCCCGGAAACGGGUGCUAAUACUGGAUAUUCACUGAUUCUCGCAUGGGGGUUGGUGGAAAGGUUUUUUCUGGUGGGGGAUGGGCUCGCGGCCUAUCAGCUUGUUGGUGGGGUGAUGGCCUACCAAGGCUUUGACGGGUAGCCGGCCUGAGAGGGUGACCGGUCACAUUGGGACUGAGAUACGGCCCAGACUCGUACGGGAGGCAGCAGUGGGGAAUAAUGCACAAUGGGCGAAAGGCUGAUGCAGCGACGCCGCGUGAGGGAUGGAGGCCUUCGGGUUGUAAAACUCUUUCGCUCAUGGUCAAGCCGCAGCUUUGGGUUGUGGUGAGGGUAGUGGGUAAAGAAGCGCCGGCUAACUACGU